UGACCUUAGUACGGCGAGUGAAGCGGCAAAAGCUCAAAUUUGAAAUCUGGUACCUUCGGUGCCCGAGUUGUAAUUUGGAGAGGGCAACUUUGGGGCCGUUCCUUGUCUAUGUUCCUUGGAACAGGACGUCAUAGAGGGUGAGAAUCCCGUGUGGCGAGGAGUGCGGUUCUUUGUAAAGUGCCUUCGAAGAGUCGAGUUGUUUGGGAAUGCAGCUCUAAGUGGGUGGUAAAUUCCAUCUAAAGCUAAAUAUUGGCGAGAGACCGAUAGCGAACAAGUACAGUGAUGGAAAGAUGAAAAGAACUUUGAAAAGAGAGUGAAAAAGUACGUGAAAUUGUUGAAAGGGAAGGGCAUUUGAUCAGACAUGGUGUUUUGUGCCCUCUGCUCCUUGUGGGUAGGGGAAUCUCGCAUUUCACUGGGCCAGCAUCAGUUUUGGUGGCAGGAUAAAUCCAUAGGAAUGUAGCUUGCCUCGGUAAGUAUUAUAGCCUGUGGGAAUACUGCCAGCUGGGACUGAGGACUGCGACGUAAGUCAAGGAUGCUGGCAUAAUGGUUAUAUGCCGCCCGUCUUGAACCCCCGACACCA
rnacentral:rRNA from 1 species